rnacentral:piRNA from 1 species
UAAAGACGAGACAUAGAGCCACAAA